AGCUUUGCGCAGCGGCGAUAUCGUAACCAACCACGUUCUACCGAGGUGCGAUUAUUUUUAGUUGAAAACUUUUGCCAAUAUCCCGCUUUGACAAUUUAAAACAUUAGAGCCACAUAUGCAGGCUGACUGGCCGACAAUGUCGAAAUUAAUCGAAACAUUUAUAUUCAACAAUUAGUUGU